rnacentral:rRNA from 1 species
AGAGAGUGCAAGCGUUAAUCGGAAUUACUGGGCGUAAAGCGCGCGUAGGUGGAUACCUAAGUCGGAUGUGAAAGCCCUGAGCUUAACUCAGGAAUUGCGCCCGAUACUGGGUAUCUAGAGUAUGGUAGAGGGAAGUGGAAUUUCAGGUGUAGCGGUGAAAUGCGUAGAUAUCUGAAGGAACAUCAGUGGCGAAGGCGACUUCCUGGACCAAUACUGACACUGAGGUGCGAAAGCGGUGGGGAGCAAACAGGAUUAGAUACCCUGGUAGUCCACGCUGUCAACGAUGAGAACUAGAUGUUGGGGGGCGACCCCUUAGUAUCGAAGCUAACGCGUUAAGUUCUCCGCCUGGGGAGCACGGCCGCAAGGUUA